rnacentral:rRNA from 1 species
UAGAGUUUGAUCAUGGCUCAGGAUGACCGCUUGCGGCAGGCUUAAUACAUGCAAGUCAAGGGGGUAGCAACACUACCGGCGCACGGGUGAGUAACGCGUACACAGCAUACCAUAUACUGGAGUAUAGCUUUGGGAAACUGAAGGUAAUCCUCCAUAACAUUGCGAGAGGGCAUCUGAUUGCAAUUAAAGUUUCGGCGGUAUAUGAUUGGUGUGCGUUUGAUUAGCUAGUUGGUAGGGUAACGGCCUACCAAGGCGACGAUCAAUAGCUGGCGUGAGAGCGCGACCAGCCACACUGGAACUGAGACACGGUCCAGACUCCUACGGGAGGCAGCAGUAGGGAAUAUUGGACAAUGGAGGAAACUCUGAUCCAGCCAUGCCGCGUGAUAGAUGAAGGCCCUCUGGGUUGUAAAUAUCUUUUAUCUGGGAAGAAACACUCCUAUUCUUAGGAACUUGACGGUACCAGAGGAAUAAGCACCGGCUAACUCCGUGCCAGCAGCCGCGGUAAUA